rnacentral:lncRNA from 1 species
GAGGAAAAGAAGGAAGGAAGGAAGGCUGGCUACUAGAUUGGGGAUCCCCAGAAAAUUCCUUUUAUCAUUUGAACACACAACCUUACUCACCAGAGGCACUCCAGCUCUCCUCCUCCCCUCUAAGGCACUCUGGCAAUCACUCUGUAGUUGUUUCAAAGAUUGGGAAAUUAUUCUGAAAGCAAUGUGGCCUGUUGAUGGCAUUGACUUUGGCUCCCCUCAUCACCACUGUCAGUGUUGCCAUAAGCCUGUUUGUAAGGUCCUAAAGUUGGCUGCCCUUGAAAUAAAAUGGGAAAAACCUGAGUUUGUGGGAUAGCUUGGUCCCAAGCCCAGUUCCUCUGCCAAAGAGAGUGAACAAUCCUGCAUUUGUGGUACCCUGAGCUUGCAGUGACCUUCCGGGCCAGCCAUGAUGCCGGAGGGAGCACUUAUUCUCUGAAAUGACAGUAGAGGAAGAACCAACCCAUUGCCCAAGGACUAAUAAAUAGGCCCCUCUUUUUCCUGGGACAGCUUCAGCAGGGCCCUGUACAGGACUUAACUCUUUGUUUUCUUGAAAUUUGUGCACAGAGACUCAUCUGUUUUAUCUCUUAGUUAAAAACUGAUUGGGUUGAAAACAGAUAAUAAUUAGUCCUCAGUGCUAACUAUAGUUUAAAGUUAUUUGAGGACUUGAAAUAACCUUUACCUCUGUACCAGAGGGUAAGGAUCAUGUGAGUUUUAUUUAUUGUUUGAUAAAUAAAUAGUACAUACUAGCAUAGUGCAUGGCAAAGAAUAUGUACUAGGGAAAUUUUAUUAAAUGGAGAAUGACUAUGGAUAGCCUUCUCUCAAAGCUUAGGCUCUCAUUUUGCCUUGCUUUACCACCAUCCUCUCCACAAGUGAACAUUUUCUCUUGUCAUUGUUAACAUAAAAUAUGUUUCGUGUGGCUUCUACUGCUUGUUCUUGACUCGGUGACUCUCAGAAUCAUCAGGGACAGAGACUUGUGGUUAUCCCUUUCACUUUCAACUUUGGGCUGGUGGUAAAACCUCUUGCGUACGUGUAUCCUGGGUGUGAUCUCCUCUCUCCAGCACUUUCAAAAUGCACAAGUCCAUUUGUGAGGGCGGAGCCUUCUUGAUCAAAUCACUUCUCACUGCCCAAAUGGGGAUUAAGCUUUAACAUACAAAUUUUGCCAAGGUCUUUGGGAAAAUGAUUCUCAGCCUCUUGUUCCACUUGGCCAAGAAGGUCCCUUGCUUAGAUUCCCAGAAUUGCAACUCUUGGUGCUAAUUUUGAGUCCUUCUGUGGUCUGUCCCCCAAAAUCUAGUCACCUAAAUGGGCUGCAACAGCUUUUAUCAGGGUAGCCAGCCCUCUGACCCCAAAAGUCUGGAUAUUUUCCUUUCCUUGGGAACAUUGUACUGUAAGUCUGGCAAUUCCUGAAAAUGUAAAAGGUCCUCAUUAUUUAAUAUUUUCCAGCAAAUAAGGCCAUGGCAUCUGAGGUAGGAGUUUAGGGAUAUCAAGAUGGCAGAGGCAGGGUACAAGAAAAAUGUUGGCUAGAAUAUAAGAUGGGGCAAUGAAUCAUCUUGUCUCUGUUUAUGGUAAGUCCUAUUACCAUGGCAACUCCGCCACUGAGUGCUUAUCAGCAUAGCAACUCUGCCAGAAGUCCCAUAUUCUAAUUAGGCGAAAAUAAAGUAACCAAUGGGAACAAAUAGGGCAGGGUCUUCAAU